rnacentral:lncRNA from 10 species
GAAGGAGGUGAACCCGUGAGUCGAUGCGGAGGCGUUCACUGUUCAGACCGGAAGGAGGUGAACCCGUGAGUCGAUGCGGAGGCGUUCACUGUUUAGACCGGAAGGAGGUGAACUCGUGAGUCCAUGCGGAGGCGUUCACUGUUUAGACCGGAAGGGGUGAAUGCAUGGCUUAUGUUUAAGAAAGUCCACGGCCGGGUGCCGGUGGCUCUCGCCUGUAAUCCCAGCCUUUUGGGAGGCCAAGGUGGAUGGAUCACAAGGUCAAGAGAUAGAGACCAUCCUGGCCAACAUUGUGAAACCCCGUCUCUACUAAAAAUACAAAACUUAGCUGGGCAUGGUGGCACACGCCUGUAAUCCCAGCUACUUGGGAGGCUGAGGCAAGAGAAUUGCUUGAACCCAGGAGGCGUAGAUUGCAGUGAGCCAAGAUUGCACCACUGCACUCCAGCCUGGGCGACAGUGCGAGACUCUGUCUCAAAAAAAAAAAAAAAGGUCCUGAAGAAUGCAGCAGCCUAGAAGGGCAGUAGACCAAAGGUGGUGAGAAAUAGGAGCUCCCUGCACAGAACAGGAGGGCUCUCCUGUCUAUUAACUAUCAGGCGGGCAGAUCUCGUUAGUACCACAGAGCCAUCAUAGAGGAAGCCACAGCGUUGUCUAGUUAUGCAAAGGAGGCUCCU